rnacentral:rRNA from 1 species
AUGCUGCUGCUUACCCUACUAGUUGAAAAUGUACUGGAGACAGCUAUUGCUGUUUUAUUCAGUGAUUUCAUUGAUGUUCUGAGAGGCACUCGGCGGUACAUGGCAGAAGUUGAGUACGCCAGCAUACAUGCACUGACUCUUGUGCAUGUCUAUGGAAACACUGAAGAGAGAGAUGGGAAACCCAAGUUUGAGUUUGAGGUGGAGCCCACCAGGAAGGGGAGAUAUUUGACAAAGAGGCAUUUGAAGCUUCAGAGGAAGUGGGAAAAGAGGAAGAGGAAGGAGGCCAAUAAAAAUGAUCUACGGCAAUAUCAGCCCAAGAGGGAAAAACAAAACAGAAAUUCCCUACAGCUGAAGCCUGACUCAAAUAUAAGAUCAAGAAGGCAGUUGAAAAAUCAAAAUAUGAACAAUAGCUGGUGA